AGUGAACGCUGGCGGUAGGCCUAACACAUGCAAGUCGAACGGCAGCACAGUAAGAGCUUGCUCUUACGGGUGGCGAGUGGCGGACGGGUGAGGAAUACAUCGGAAUCUACUUUUUCGUGGGGGAUAACGUAGGGAAACUUGCGCUAAUACCGCAUACGACCUACGGGUGAAAGCAGGGGAUCUUCGGACCUUGCGCGAUUGAAUGAGCCGAUGUCGGAUUAGCUAGUUGGCGGGGUAAAGGCCCACCAAGGCGACGAUCCGUAGCUGGUCUGAGAGGAUGAUCAGCCACACUGGAACUGAGACACGGUCCAGACUCCUACGGGAGGCAGCAGUGGGGAAUAUUGGACAAUGGGCGCAGGCCUGAUGCAGCCAUACCGCGUGGGUGAAGAAGGCCUUCGGGUUGUAAAGCCCUUUUGUUGGGAAAGAAAAGCAGCAGGUUAAUACCCCGCUGUUCUGACGGUACCCAAAGAAUAAGCACCGGCUAACUUCGUG
rnacentral:rRNA from 1 species